AGCCGCAGAGUGCACGCCUCUUCCUGUAACUCUCAUAUUCCCCACAUGACAAUACCUGUUGGCCUCAGCUGCUUUGUUACCUGAGCACCGCUGCCCCCGUUCCCCUCACCCAGAGCUUGGCGUAUUGAGCGAGCACGCUCUUCAAUACCGUCGUCAUAUCCUUAGUGUUCCUGCUCUCUUCCGAACGGGACAGUGAUCAAGUCUGCUCCGCGGCUCCUCUCCGUGUAAAGGAUCCAUCCCUCCAAGCACGGAGCCCGUCCAUGACUGAGCCUCGGUGUGGGCAAAGUCACGAGACGCCUGAAGGCCCAGGAGGAGCAGGGAGCCGUGGGAGAGACACGACAGGGCUCAGCUCUGAGUACAGCGCAGGUGAACUCAAUUUCUAUCGGCAGCACAGACACAGUCCUCCCACUGUGAGAGGCAUUGCACAUGAAUCACAUUUACAAGUUCUACGGCAUUCUGCAGUGCCAACAGUGGUUACAUAAUGACUGCUCAUACCCAGUACCAAUUUAACAUACAAAUUCUUUCAGCUUCAGUCAGCUUCAGUUUUAAAAGUCUCAGGAGAACUCCUGCACAAGAGUGUUUAAAUUGACACAUAGAGAAGAAAUAAACUCUAAAAUAAAUCGCUGUAAGGGAAUAAAAUAAUCCUUUUUGCAUUCCACACUGUUCUUUACACACACACACUGACUCAGCGCGGGGGUGCAGCAGGGCGCCCCCUGCUGGUGAAGCGAUGCAGUGCGAGGAAGACGCACCCUGCUGGCCCUCGCGCUGUCACCAUUCUAGGCUCCUGGAUGUCGGCUGCUCUCUGGGGACCCCACAGACAAGCAGCACUCUCAAGGUCACAGCGCUACGUGACACCCUCGCCCUCCGCGGUCGGCCACAGCUCAGCCAGCCCAGCCUGUAGACAGAGCCCGGCCGCUCCGCCCCAGCGCUGAGACAGCUCGGCUCCAAGCACACUGAGCAUCUGCUCCGCACAGGAGUGCAAGAUGGGCUUGUGGCUAUGUUUUUGCAUCUGUUUGCCUCUCGCUACAGAGAUGCGGAGAAAGAAAACAGCAGCAUCUAGGAGGAGCUCUCCGGAAACAAAGUUCCCCAGCACCUGGAACAAAGGUGUUCAAAACUUGUGCUUGGGUUAAACUGGAUGAAACAACCUACCAGUUAUUCCCAAAAUUCCCCAACUUUGAUUCAGGUUAAAGAUGACUAAAAACAGUAUUACGGCAGAAGCCUGCCAGUGGUUGUCUCACUGAUGGCACAGAAAUCUUCACCCACAGAUCCUGGGGCCUGUGGAAAUGCAACAGAUGAAUAUUGGAGCAUUUAUUGCAUUUUUAAUGCCUCUCGAUGUGCUUCAGCCCAUUAACUCUCAGCUAAAGGGGACUUGCAUUUACCAUCCGCUAUACUUGAAGACUUCUGAACGCAAAUAAACAAGGUCCCACGUUAUCAUGGAAAAUGCUGGUUUCUUUUGUUCAAAGCCUUUUUUGCAGCUUAGCAUGUUAGCCCAGAUAGACAGAACACAGUUUAUAGAGGAUGUUGUAGCUGAUUCAUAGUGCGGCACGCCCUCUCUGUGGGCCUGAGAAAGCCUUUCAUCAAGGCAGAUAACACCCUGUGUGCACAGAGCCGGAGUCAAAGUGCUUCAUACAACCUGCUAUUAAAUAUUGAACACUGCCUGUGGCAAUGAGUGAGGAGAUAACAGCCCAUUCCCACAAAAUAACAAUUACACAUAGGAGAGGGUGCCAUCUCGUUCACCCACUCAGACAACAGUGUUCCACAUCUUCACCCAGCAGAGGAAAUAUUAUGUGCCUCUGUGUCUCAUUCUGCAUAGCUUCUGGAUUUAUUCCUUAAUGAACUCUUAAUAGGCUCUGCAGCUAUUGUUCGCAAGCUUUUCUAAUGAUAACUCAAAGGAAGCGUGGAAACAUUCUUGUUCUU